GAUGAACGCUGGCGGCGUGCCUAAUACAUGCAAGUCGAGCGAACAGACGAGGAGCUUGCUCCUCUGACGUUAGCGGCGGACGGGUGAGUAACACGUGGAUAACCUACCUAUAAGACUGGGAUAACUUCGGGAAACCGGAGCUAAUACCGGAUAAUAUAUUGAACCGCAUGGUUCAAUAGUGAAAGACGGUUUUGCUGUCACUUAUAGAUGGAUCCGCGCCGCAUUAGCUGGUUGGUAAGGUAACGGCUUACCAAGGCGACGAUGCGUAGCCGACCUGAGAGGGUGAUCGGCCACACUGGAACUGAGACACGGUCCAGACUCCUACGGGAGGCAGCAGUAGGGAAUCUUCCGCAAUGGGCGAAAGCCUGACGGAGCAACGCCGCGUGAGUGAUGAAGGUCUUCGAAUCGUAAAACUCUGUUAUUAGGGAAGAACAAAUGUGUAAGUAACUAUGCACGUCUUGACGGUACCUAAUCAGAAAGCCACGGCUAACUACGUG
rnacentral:rRNA from 1 species